rnacentral:rRNA from 1 species
GACUCCAUGAAGUCGGAAUCGCUAGUAAUCGUAGAUCAGAAUGCUACGGUGAAUACGUUCCCGGGCCUUGUACACACCGCCCGUCACACCAUGGGAGUGGGUUGCAAAAGAAGUGGCUAGUUUAACCUUCGGGAGGACGGUCACCACUUUGUGAUUCAUGACUGGGGUGAAGUCGUAACAAGGUAACCCUAGGGGAACCUGGGGUUGGAUCACCUCCUUAUCUUGAAG